AACGAACGCUGGCGGCAGGCUUAACACAUGCAAGUCGAGCGGGCACUUCGGGGUAAGCGGCGGACGGGUUAGUAACGCGUGGGAACGUGCCCUUUGCUUCGGAAUAGCCCUGGGAAACUGGGGGUAAUACCGGAUGUGCCCUGAGGGGGAAAGAUUUAUCGGCAAGGGAUCGGCCCGCGUCUGGUUAGGUAGUUGGUGUGGUAACGGCGCACCAAGCCGACGAUCGGUAGCUGGUUUGAGAGGAUGAUCAGCAACACUGGGACUGAGACACGGCCCAGACUCCGGCGGGAGGCAUCAGUGGGGACCCUUAGACAAUGGGCGCAAGCCUGAUCUAGCCAUGCCGCGUGGGUGAUGAAGGCCUUAGGGUCGUAAAGCCCUUCCGCCGGGGAAGAAAAUGACUAUACCGCAAGAAUAAGCCCCGGCUAACUUCGUGCCAGCGGCCGCCGUAAGAC
rnacentral:rRNA from 1 species